UAGAAGUGACCAUGUAUGAGC
rnacentral:piRNA from 1 species